rnacentral:tRNA from 1 species
UUCUAAGUAACCUAGAUUAGGUGCUAAACUUUUAAUUUAGUCACGAUAAAUAUUUAUCCUUAGAAA